rnacentral:rRNA from 1 species
CAAUAGCGUAUAUUAAAGUUGUUGCAGUUAAAAAGCUCGUAGUUGGAUUUGUGGUGUACUUCGGCGGCCCGUCACUAUGUGAUGGAGCUUGCUGAAGUCGCCAUCCUUGGGUGGAUCCUGUGUGGCAUUAAGUUGUCGUGCAGGGGAUGCCCAUCGUUUACUGUGAAAAAAUUAGAGUGUUCAAAGCAGGCUUAUGCCGUUGAAUAUGUUAGCAUGGAAUAAUAAGAUAGGACCUUGGUACUAUUUUGUUGGUUUGCGCACCAAGGUAAUGAUUAAUAGGGACAGUUGGGGGUAUUCGUAUUUCAUUGUCAGAGGUGAAAUUCUUGGAUUUUUGAAAGACGAACUACUGCGAAAGCAUUUACCAAGGAUGUUUUCAUUA